rnacentral:rRNA from 1 species
UACAGGGGGUGCUAGCGUUGUUCGGAAUCACUGGGCUUAAAGGGUGCGUAGGCGGGUCUUUAAGUCAGGGGUGAAAUCCUGGAGCUCGACUCCAGAACUGCCUUUGAUACUGAAGAUCUUGAGUUCGGGAGAGGUGAGUGGAACUGCGAGUGUAGAGGUGAAAUUCGUAGAUAUUCGCAAGAACACCAGUGGCGAAGGCGGCUCACUGGCCCGAUACUGACGCUGAGGCGCGAAAGCGUGGGGAGCAAACAGG